UGGAUCUGUGUAUCGGACGGUCGGUUCGCCGCUCGCGGCGUUUAACUGACCGUUUCCGGACGUCCUGCCGGUGGUCGUUGGUCCGCGAGGGCCUUCGGCCGUCACCUCCCUCCGGGCUUCUCUUAACCGGGUGGCCCGGUGGGCCGGCACGUUUACUUUGAACAAAUUUGAGUGCUCAAAGCAGGCCUAUAGACGCCUGAAAACUGUGUGCAUGGAAUAAUGGAAUAGGACCUCUUUUCUAUUUUGUUGGCUUUUCUGAAACAGAGGUAAUGAUUAAUAGGGACAGACGGGGGCAUUCGUAUUGCGACGUUAGAGGUGAAAUUCUUGGAUCGUCGCAAGACGGACGGAUGCGAAAGCGUUUGCCAAGAAUGUUUUCGCUAAUCAAGAACGAAAGUUAGAGGUUCGAAGGCGAUCAGAUACCGCCCUAGUUCUAACCAUAAACGAUGCCAGCCAGCGAUGCGCCGAAGUUCCUCCGAUGACUCGGCGCGCAGCUUCCGGGAAACCAAAGCUUUUGGGUUCC
rnacentral:rRNA from 1 species